UUGCUGUAGAUCCUUGGGGAAGUAUUUGGCGAGCUAACUCACCAUAGCUGUAUGAAGGAGUGCUGCAACGAUGAGAGAUUAUGAUUCAAAGAAAAGCAAGCUGUCAUGGUCUAAGGCCUUCAUCAAAAAAUGGUUCAGCAU